AUACAUCAAUAAAUGAUCAUUGAUCCUUAGAUGAACAUAGAGUAAGUUACCUUAGGGAUAACAGCGUAAUUCUUUUUGAGAGCUCAAAUCGACAAAAGAGUUUGCGACCUCGAUGUUGGUUCAGGGACCCUAUUUGGUGCAGCAGCUUAAUCAGGUAGUCUGUUCGACUAUUAAACCCCUACGUGAUCUGAGUUCAGACCGGCCUAAGCCAGGUUAGUUUCUACCC
rnacentral:ncRNA from 1 species